AUGCUUUAAGUGAAGGGAAAUAUCCGUGUCGGGGUAAACUACGGCUUCCGGAUUCCUGGAUAGAGCAUCUCAUAGGAAAGUACCGUUAGAAAGAUCAACUCGUAAUUGAUUGAGUAUAAAUAACCUCUAGAGGGAGGUCGCGUGGAAACUAUGAUGAAACUCCUAGAAGUGGGCGUGCCUGGCAGAAGGAGUAGGUCGAAAACUGGUUGCUGAAGCAGCAUAAGCUCCCUGAUGUAAGCUCCCUGAAUAAAUUCACAGCAAUACAUCAAAGUAGUAUGAAAGUUGGCCAGUAUAAAUAAAUUCCCUGUUAACGGAAAGAGGGUUUGCAAAUCCGACGUCGUGAGACACGGACCUCAUGGGAAGAAGAAGCAACUUUAGUGUUAGAGAGAUACUGUUAAUGAGCUCUAACAUGUUCAAAUAUUUUAUUUAAG
rnacentral:ncRNA from 12 species